rnacentral:rRNA from 1 species
GUCGAGAAUCUUUCACAAUGGGGGCAACCCUGAUGGAGCGACGCCGCGUGGAGGAUAAGGUCUUCGGAUUGUAAACUCCUGUCAUGCGUGAACAAGGUUGCUUGGUUAAUACCUGGGCAAAUUGAUGGUAACGCAAGAGGAAGAGACGGCUAACUCUGUGCCAGCAGCCGCGGUAAUACAGAGGUCUCAAGCGUUGUUCGGAAUCACUGGGCGUAAAGGGUGCGUAGGUGGCGUGGUAAGUCAGAUGUGAAAGCCCGGGGCUCAACCUCGGAACUGCAUCCGAUACUGCCAUGCUAGAGUACUGGAGAGGUGACUAGAAUUCUCGGUGUAGCAGUGAAAUGCGUAGAUAUCGAGAGGAAUACCAAAGGCGUAGGAGGUCACUGGACAGUUACUGACACUGAGGCACGAAGGCCAGGGGAGCGAACGGGAUUAGAAACCCCGGUAGUCC